rnacentral:tRNA from 1 species
GGGCGAUUAGCUCAGUUGGGAGAGCACCUGCCUUACAAGCAGGGGGUCGGCAGUUCGAGCCUGUCAUCGCCCACCA